rnacentral:rRNA from 1 species
CCGGGGUUUCUUUACCAGGUACUGUCAUUAUCAUCCCUGGCGAAAGUGCUUUACGACCCUAAGGCCUUCAUCACACACGCGGCAUGGCUAGAUCAGGCUUGCGCCCAUUGUCUAAGAUUCCCCG